rnacentral:lncRNA from 1 species
GUGAAAGGCGCCCACCUUCGUUCUUCUUCCAGCUCCCAGACCGAGGAGAGUUUUAGUUAUUAUUUGGGGGGAUCGUUCUGGAGUUCUUUACUUGUCCCUCCUAGACAUGUAAACACUGAAGAAAAACUCCUCUCUCCCAUUUUCAGGCUGAAAUAUUAAUAAUAUAUGAAAUGUUUUUGAAAAUGAAAAAAAUGUUUUUCUAACUGUAGGAGCAGUACGUGCUCAGGCCCAGUCAGCACAAGAAAAGGCGUCUGCAACAGGUGCUCCUGACCCCGGACAAGGGAUCAAGGGGGACAUGGGGCCUCAGACUUGGGGGUGCAGGGAAGCUGGUUCCAGCUCCAGCUUCCUCGUGACCACAGGGAGCUGGAAGGAAAUCCUCUUGCUUGGAGCAGUUCAGUUUUUCACAAGCAGACAUGUGCCAUGCUUCAGCUGAAGUUUAUAGCUCAGCAAAUCGUAACAGUGAACCCAGCCACGUUUCUCAACCACACAAAGGGUCCCUGGGGCACCACCCUCCACAUCUCCAACCAAAGGCAUCUGGCUUGCAGCUCCUGAAGACUUGGGCAUUUUGAGAGACCAGGCCUCGGCACGGCCAGUGCUGCCACGUGUGCUCAGGGAUGGCCAGCACACCUCUGCAGGUAAUAUUCCCUUGUCUGGAUGGACCGCAGUUUGUUUAUCCGUCCACCUGCUGAAGGACAUUUUGGGUGCUUCCGUCCUGACCAUUUUUGCUCUUACGGGAAUCACAUGAUGUGGAAAAUGUAAAGCAGCCACAGUUCUAGGCAAGCGGUGGAGUCGGCAUGGAGAGCUGAGCAUGUCACACCGAUGGCCUCGCUGAGCGCUGCACGUUUGGUGGCACCCACUGUCCCUGUGAAGAACUGGUCUCUAGGCAGCACCCCCGAGACCCCACCCAGCUCUGACCGCAGCAUGGCGGGUCCCUGCCUCUGAGUGAAGUCUCCCCAGGUAGGGAGAUGACCA